CCUACUAAAGUUUAGAAAUGGAAUCAUAAGUUGUCCGAGCUCAGGGCUUAACUUAGUAGUGGUCUUAGAACAUGUGUAUCAACUAAAAGAGUGCAUACACUAAAAAAAGUGACAUAAAAGUCCAAAAAGUGACAUAAAACCAAAAAAGUGACACAAGAGAUUGUAUUAUAGUGGUUUAACAAUAUCUGCAGAACAAAUACAAGAAUUGAGACUUUGCUUAAAUUUCACCCUUCACCACCAAAAAAAUUAAAGAAUACAAUAAUAAAAAGUGACAUAAAUUUAAAUAUUUUCGAGAGUUAAAGGGUCUCGUGACUGGAUACAGAGCUCAGGAUCGGAGAAAUAUUUUCUGGUGUUAUUGGAAUGUCUAAAGAGAAAAAUGAAGUUCUUAAAUCCAUGAAGCCAUGAGAGAAAACAGCUUUUACAAGUAAUUUGUAGAUGAUCCAGCUUACAAUCUCCAUCCAUCACUUGUGUAAAGAUCAAAUCUUAAGCACACAAAGAUCCCGAGCUAGAUGAGGU
rnacentral:lncRNA from 1 species